UACAGAGGGGGCAAGCGUUAUUCGGAAUUAUUGGGCGUAAAGGGCGCGUAGGCGGCUUUGCAAGUGACGGGUGAAAUCCCUCGGCUUAACCGAGGAACUGCCUGUCAGACUGCAUGGCUUGAGACCGGGAGAGGUGAGUGGAAUUCCCAGUGUAGCGGUGAAAUGCGUAGAUAUUGGGAAGAACACCGGUGGCGAAGGCGGCGACCUGGGUAGAUACUGACGCUGAGGAGCGAAAGCGUGGGGAGCGAACAGG
rnacentral:rRNA from 1 species